rnacentral:lncRNA from 1 species
AUACGCCUGCCUGGGCCACUUCUGCCCAAUCAGAGAAGGGAGCCACCAGACACUGGUGAAGGCCCCCGGAAGUGACGCCUUCUCUUCCCUGGAGCCCCUGCCUGGACCAGGGUCCACUCCUCCACCCACACACACCACGGAGAAGAUUUGGAUAGGGGCAUCCAUCUUUUCCUGGACAUGGGCAACCUGGGACCUGGAGGGGGACAGCAGCAGAAGUUUUUUUCCAGGAGGAAUCUGGCAGGACAUUUGUGUUGCUGGGGAAGAAGCACAGAGGAAAGACAGCUGCUGGACCUCCCCCGCAAAUACCUCCCUGCUGGCCCCCCUUUUCCUUUGGCCCUGGCUCUAGCUCCUUUGCUUUCUUCCCAGUCCCAGUCUCCCCACAGUCUCUGUCCUCAGGGGCUUCCUGGCCUGACCUUGAUCCCAUCAUCCCCCUGUCCCCCAGAACUUCCUCAGGCUCUCUCCUGUUCCUCCUCCCCAAGGAUGGGCAUGUCUGCUGAGAAGUGUGGCCUAGAUCCUGGAAUUUUCCCGUCCAGCCAGACGAGAUGUCUCCCAAGAUUAGGAAGGAGGGUGCUGGGAUAGCUGGGAGGAUAGUGGGUGUGUGUGGGAGGGAGAGACAGGAGACAGGGAGGCAGGCAUGACCAGGGAACCAAGAGAAAGGAGGCUGGGAGUGGGCUGGAGAGGCAGAGGGUCCCUUGGGUGAAGGAAGGGGGUGAGAAAGCAAGAGGGGACUGUCGAAUGCGCCUGAGGAUAAGUUACAAUGAGAGGGAGAUACUGUCACUCCACAGAAGGGGGAAUGCUGCCGGUUUCUGGCUAGGUCCCUGUCCUGGGUAACACAAGAAUGAGGAGCGACCUCAGAGAGAAGGUAGGGAGGCAGGUUAGGCAGUGAGAGAGGGUGGUGAGGGUUUGGGGGGCGCUGUGGGCCCAGGCAGGGGGAGAUCGGCUGAUGGGCCUUUCCUGUACGUUGUCAUCUUUAAAGACAAGUCUUCAUCCUUCGGGCGGAACCGGGUCCUCGCUCACAGAGCGGUCCAGGCCUCAGGCCUAGCCUCUGCCCCUCCCUAGCCUGAGGCUCCCUUCCUGGGCUGGACACCGACCUCCUGGUCCAGCGGCCCUGUGGCCGCCAGCAGCGGGGGGCUCCGGGC